rnacentral:rRNA from 1 species
AGAGUUUGAUCCUGGCUCAGAGUGAACGCUGGCGGCAGGCCUAACACAUGCAAGUCGAGCGGCAGCGGGUCCUUCGGGAUGCCGGCGAGCGGCGGACGGGUGAGGAAUGCGUCGGAAUCUGCCUUUUUGUGGGGGAUAACGUAGGGAAACUUACGCUAAUACCGCAUACGACCUACGGGUGAAAGCCGGGGACCUUCGGGCCUGGCGCAGAGAGAUGAGCCGACGCCGGAUUAGCUAGUUGGCGGGGUAAAGGCCCACCAAGGCGACGAUCCGUAGCUGGUCUGAGGGGAUGAUCAGCCACACUGGAACUGAGACACGGUCCAGACUCCUACGGGAGGCAGCAGUGGGGAAUAUUGGACAAUGGGCGGAAGCCUGAUCCAGCCAUGCCGCGUGCAGGAUGAAGGCCUUCGGGUUGUAAACUGCUUUUGUACGGAACGAAAAGACUCCUUCUAAUAAAGGGGGUCCAUGACGGUACCGUAAGAAUAAGCACCGGCUAACUACGUGCCAGCAGCCGCGGUAAUACGUAGGGUGCAAGCGUUAAUCGGAAUUACUGGGCGUAAAGCGUGCGCAGGCGGUUAUAUAAGACAGAUGUGAAAUCCCCGGGCUCAACCUGGGAACUGCAUUUGUGACUGUAUAGCUAGGGUACGGUAGAGGGGGAUGGAAUUCCGCGUGUAGCAGUGAAAUGCGUAGAUAUGCGGAGGAACACCGAUGGCGAAGGCAAUCCCCUGGACCUGUACUGACGCUCAUGCACGAAAGCGUGGGGAGCAAACAGGAUUAGAUACCCUGGUAGUCC